rnacentral:tRNA from 1 species
GGGCUCGUAGCUCAGCUUGGAUAGAGCGACGUCCUCCUAAGACGAAGGUCGGGGGUUCAAAUCCCCCCGGGCCCG